rnacentral:rRNA from 1 species
GAACUUAAGAGUUUGAUCCUGGCUCAGAUUGAACGCUGGCGGCAUGCCUAACACAUGCAAGUCGAACGGUAACAGGUCUUCGGAUGCUGACGAGUGGCGGACGGGUGAGUAAUGCGUAGGAAUCUGUCUUUUAGUGGGGGACAACCCAGGGAAACUUGGGCUAAUACCGCAUGAGCCCUGAGGGGGAAAGCGGGGGAUCUUCGGACCUCGCGCUAAGAGAGGAGCCUACGUCCGAUUAGCUAGUUGGCGGGGUAAAGGCCCACCAAGGCGACGAUCGGUAGCUGGUCUGAGAGGACGACCAGCCACACUGGGACUGAGACACGGCCCAGACUCCUACGGGAGGCAGCAGUGGGG